GUGCCAGCAGCCGCGGUAAGACAGAGGGUGCAAACGUUGUUCGGAUUUACUGGGCGUAAAGCGCGUGUAGGCGGCUUGGCAAGUUGGAUGUGAAAGCCCACGGCUCAACCGUGGAAGCGCAUCCAAAACUGCUUCGCUCGAGUCUCGGAGAGGAAGGUGGAAUGCUUGGUGUAGAGGUGAAAUUCGUAGAUAUCAAGCAGAACACCUGCGGCGAAGGCGGCCUUCUGGACGAUGACUGACGCUGAGACGCGAAAGCGUGGGGAGCAAACAGGAUUAGAAACCCUGGUAGUCC
rnacentral:rRNA from 1 species